ACCUGGGUAGCUUAGUUAGUUAAGUGUCAGACUCUUAAUUUCAGUUCAGGUCAUGAUCUCAGGGUUGUGGGAUCAAGUCCCACAUCAGGUU
rnacentral:tRNA from 1 species